rnacentral:snoRNA from 1 species
NNCACUCAACAGUGUUUUUCCUGCCAGGGUCUUCAGAGGUCAGUGCUAUGGAAAUUCACUAUCUGGCAUCGUUGGUUUUCUUGGCUUUGUGCUUGUUUAACCUGGUAUUUCUAUCGAUACAGUA